AUUGGAGUUAGACAAAAACCUUAUAAUUUUCUUGAACUUUACUUGUUUAAAUCUUUUUUUAAGUUAAGCAUGAAACUUGAGAUUUCACUUAUAUUUUACUUUUCAGAGUUUCAGAGAAAAGUUAUGUUCCAACUUGCUGAAAUUAAAAACAUUUUAGUAAAUAAAGCUGCACUAAUCUCUAAUGAUCCAGAAGGUUAUAAACAACUUAAAAGUUCAGAUGAACUUAAUGUUUUGAAAAGAAAAAUUGCAAAUAGAGAUAUCCAAUACAUCACUUUUGUAAAACAGUCAUCAUUAAUUAGCGACUGACAACAGACACUAUUUUCAGAAUGCAGCAUGAAUGGUCUAAAGAAGAAAAAAAAGUUUAAAAAGUUGACAAGUCUAUGUAUCGCUAUCACUGAUGCUGCUUCAAAGUCAAAUAAAAGCUUAACCAAAAUGGAUCUCAUGCAACUCAUUGGAAGAUUAAUUAGGCAUUCUUCUGACCGAUUCAAGGGAAAAUUUACCAAUAUCGAUAUCGAUCAAUGAUGGUUUAAUUAACUUCAAUCAACUGUUGUGUUUUUUUAUUUAUUUUGCAUUUUUCAGUAAUUUUCUUUUUACUUAUUAUACACUAUCGAUUAUACUGUACAAAAUAUAUUAGUUUUUAAUUUGGAAAGUGUAACUUUG
rnacentral:lncRNA from 1 species